rnacentral:rRNA from 1 species
CAGUAGCCGCGGGAAUACGUAGGGUGCAAGCGUUAAUCGGAAUUACUGGGCGUAAAGCGUGCGCAGGCGGUUAUAUAAGACAGAUGUGAAAUCCCCGGGCUCAACCUGGGAACUGCAUUUGUGACUGUAUAGCUAGAGUACGGCAGAUGGGGAUGGAAUUCCGCGUGUAGCAGUGAAAUGCGUAGAUAUGCGGAGGAACACCGAUGGCGAAGGCAAUCCCCUGGGCCUGUACUGACGCUCAUGCACGAAAGCGUGGGGAGCAAACAGGAUUAGAUACCCCGGUAGUCCCUGUCUCUUAUAC